UUCAAUAAUAUAUAUAUAUAUUCAUUUGUGAAUGUAUUAUUAUUGCAAUAUUUAGUGCUAAUUCUUUUUUCUUUUUAAAUUGUAGUUUAGUGUUCAUGAAUAAAAAAUGCAUCCAUUCCCCCCUUCUUAAAAGCAGGAAAAGAAAAUGAUUUUUGUGUGUGUGUAAUUUCGAAAUAACUCGGUAUUUGCUCGAAAAAUGUUGUGUUUUUAGGCUUUCAACUGCUGUUGCUACCAGUGUUUAAUUCUUUCCACCUUAAUGUGUUGUUCUAAUUUGGGUUAAUGGAAGCUCUUCGCCUCUUCCUUACCUUUCCUGUUUUCUUCCUGAAUUUAACUUUUAGUAGCAUUUGUUUCAUCUUGUCUUGUUUCGGUCAGAGCAUUAUGCGGCAAGGCAAAGGAGAUAUUAAUGAAAGAAAUCAAUGUCCAGGUUUAUCAUCUUAGUUUGCUCAUGUUUCAGGCAUCUAUGGUCUAUAUUUAUUUAUCUAUCAGUGAAUUUUGGAAAUGAUGAGAUUGCUCCCCCUUGAACUGGGUAAACAUUGAUUUGGUUUUCUUUUGAAUUACAGCCUCUGAGAAGUCAUGUGACACUUUGUGGUGAUAUUCAUUGACAGUUUCAUGAUCUUGCUGAACUUUUUCGAAUUGGAGGGAAGAUAUGAAAUUGGACAAGACAUGUAAUGAACAACAUGGGGAGCAAGGAUUCGUAUUGUGAUGUUUGGUUCCUCGAAGAGUUUCUGGGCAAAUUUUCUGUUUACUGGGACGAUGGAAAGGCAAAUAUUGAAAUAAAGGUUAAGAAUUCUAUCAAAAAAAAUAAAGGUUAAGAAUCAGAGGAAAUCAUGCAAGGCUAAAUUGGCUCUGAUCUAAGCGGCUGAGCGGAAGUGCUGUUGGAGAGGAGAAGAUGCCUAUCUAAACUAUUCAGAGUAAAUUGGUGACAUUGGGAGAGGCAAAACGAGUUGGCUGCCUUUAAGGCUUUAUGAAAGAAUGGAUGAUGGAAUGGAAUGGACAAAGACAUAGACAGUGGUCCUAGGAUGCCCUCUCCAAGCUCGAAAGGAAAGGAAAAAGCUAGACCACACCUUGUAGAUGAAGAUGAUGAAGUUAUGCUAAGGAGAGUGACACUGAAAAAGAAGACAUUGGGGAUUGUGAGACGGAUGAGGAGGAAGAUGAUGACAUACCACUUGACGAUGAUGAUGACGA